rnacentral:rRNA from 1 species
CCCUACGGGGUGCAGCCGGCGGCGCUUUAAGUCAGAUGUGAAAUACCCGGGCUUAACCCGGGGGGUGCAUUUGAAACUGGAGUGCUUGAGUGCAGGAGAGGAAAGUGGAAUUCCUAGUGUAGCGGUGAAAUGCGUAGAUAUUAGGAGGAACACCAGUGGCGAAGGCGACUUUCUGGACUGUAACUGACGCUGAGGCACGAAAGCGUGGGGAGCAAACA